rnacentral:rRNA from 1 species
AUUGCGAUACAAUCAACUCAGACUUCACUAGACCUUCCGUAGGUGAACCUGCGGAAGGAUCAUUACCGAGUGUAGGGUUCCUAGC